rnacentral:lncRNA from 10 species
GCUGGAUGCUUCAUCCACGUGUAGUGGUUUUCUUUCCUCUGCACACCUCUCAGUACAUACUCCAGCUGGGACAAUCUUUUCAGAUGAACACCCUGUUUUUAUCCCAGUCUGAUAAAUUUUUCUUGAAAAGAGGUCAAACAGGAAAGCAAACCUUCCUCUGCCUGUCUCAGUGCAAUCAUGAAGAUCACGCAAGAUAGUCCCUGUUGGAGUGUGUGUGCUUCAGCAGUGCAGAGCAUUCAAAGGAUGCAGCAAUGAGACACCAUCUUGGAAACAGAGGCCAAACUCUCACCAGAUGAUAACCAGCU